CACACACAUACCAGGUCACUUAUUUCCAGCAUGAACAGUCUGUCUCUCAAGGACCCAGACGGGUUCAGCAAUGGGAAGGAAGGAAGGAAGGAAGUGAGCACGGCGUAGUUAGCGGUGUAAUAAAUGUUUUGAGUGGACGACACGAUGCUAUUGACCUCCAGCUUGGCUUGGAAGACUUUCAGACCCUGGAUGGUUUCGAAACUAACAAUAGAAGAUGGAACAGAACCAGAACUAACAUGACUGCUUCCUUCUCAGCAGUCUAUCAGAACAAUUGCUGCACUAAAAGAAGAAAUCAUCUUUGCCUGGAACAACGUUGGUUCUGAUCCAUUGGGAAAUGUUCAACAUCAGCGUAUGCACAAGACACACACAUGACAGAACCACAUUAUAAGUCGAGGAGCAUCUCUGUUUUUAAUAGUGG